AACGCGAAGAACCUUACCUGGGCUAGAAAACGUGCGAACCUGGUAGAAAUAUCGGGGUACUCUUCGGAGGACGCAUGGUUAGGUGCUGCAUGGCUGUCGUCAGCUCGUGUCGUGAGAUGUUGGGUUAAGUCCCGCAACGAGCGCAACCCUUAUUGUCAGUUGCCAUCAUUAAGUUGGGCACUCUGGCGAAACCGCCUCGGAUAACGGGGAGGAAGGUGGGGAUGACGUCAAGUCCUCAUGGCCUUUAUGUCCAGGGCUACACACGUGCUACAAUGGUCGGUACAAACCGUCUCAAACCCGCGAGGGGGAGCUAAUCGGAAAAAGCCGGCCUCAGUUCGGAUUGGAGUCUGCAACUCGACUCCAUGAAGCUGGAAUCGCUAGUAAUCGCGGAUCAGAACGCCGCGGUGAAUACGUUCCCGGGCCUUGUACACACCGGUACUA
rnacentral:rRNA from 1 species